AUCUGCGCACGCGUGACCGUGUUGCUCGCAACCACGAGGGGGGAUAACAUGGCGGUACUCGAUCGCCGUUAGUCGAUGUACAGACACCGGUAGAUUUGGAUCAUUCUUCUGAAUCAAAUAGAAUAAAUAGUGAUUAUGAUUGAAAAUUCACAUUCUAUAUUGCCAUUAUUUUUACAAAUUAUGACAUGAUUUAAUAUUUAUUGUUUUAUUUAAACAAUUCGCGAGUGUCGAUUGUAAAGACUCACUGCACGCGUUAAGUGACAUUUAUAAGAGUUUACUCUGACAUCAUUCGAAAACGCGAUUUAAGACUCUGUUGCCAAGUAAGUUCAAUCACUACAUUGCGAAAGUGAUUUUGUAAUCGGUUGCCGUUUGAACUGUUUCAAUUUUAAAGUGAUUGACAGCAAAAACGAAGAAGGCGGUGAAUCUUGUCAACCAUUUGAAUCUGUUUUGAAAAGAAUCUCUUGGGACUGCAUCAUAAAGAUAUUCUGUAAAUAGCAAAAAAGUAAGGAUCAAAAAGGAUGGAAGAAACUGCGUGCAAAAAUAGUUACGACGAUAGAACACCAGUAAGUGGGCGGUCAGAGAAAGGGGAGAAACGAGAAGAGAAUAAGAUCGUUGAUUGCAGACUGCAAGGUUCUGUCUAACACUAGUAAUGGGAACAAGCUAAUUGGAGUAAAUAUUAAAAUGUUAUCUCUAUGAAAAAAAAAAAAAAAAGAGAGAGAAAAAAAUGCAAAA